CUUUCCACCCAACGAAAUCCUCGUACGAACUCGCUUCUCUCGUCCCUCUUACGAAAUCGCUCGCAAUCAUCUCUCAAGCCUCUCUCUCUCGAAGUCUUUCUACCUCAAAAUCGCUCAUCAACGAACCCUCUCACGCUCUCAAACUCAAAGAAUCACUCUCUCUCAACUCUCACGAUAUCUCCAUCAACAAGCAUAUGAAAAGGAUAAAAGGAAAAAGGAGAAGUUCUUACAAAGUGUCACGGCGGUGGUGAAAGGCGUGAAGAAGCUGGCCUCCCAAUCCAGCUAGGGUUUCAAAUUGGUGCCCUUGUGUUCAAAAGCGUAUCUCUGUAAAAUCCUCUUUGAUGUUCUCAGUUUGGAUGGGCUUGUUUAAUGCUAAAACCGGAAACGUGACUUUUUUUGUGAAAACUCAAGAGCAGUUUCGAUUGAGUAGAAACGAAAACGAAACGGUUUGGGAUGAACAGGUUGUAUGGUGCUUGUAGAAUUGAUUCUUGUUGGUAGUUCCAUCAAAGAGGACGAGUAUGUCUUCCGGUAGCCCUACCACAAAGUAAUGCAUUCUUAGGAAUAGGAUAUUCAUCUCUCAGUG